UACGUAGGGCGCAAGCGUUGUCCGGAAUUAUUGGGGCGUAAAAGAGCUCGUAGGCGGUUUGUCGCGUCUGCUGUGAAAUCCCGAGGCUCAACCUCGGGCUUGCAGUGGGUACGGGGCAGACUAGAGUGGCGGUAGGGGGAGACUGGAAUUCCUGGUGUAGCGGUGGAAUGCGCAGAUAUCAGGAAGAACACCCGUGGCGAAGGCGGCUCUCUGGGGACGGGUACU
rnacentral:rRNA from 1 species